rnacentral:rRNA from 1 species
GAUGAACGCUAGCGGGAGGCUUAAUACAUGCAAGUCGAGCGAGAAGUGAUGUACUUGUAUAUCAUGGAAAGCGGCGCACGGGUGAGUAACGCGUACGCAACCUACCUUACAGAGGAGGAUAGCCCUGGGAAACUGGGAAUAAUACUCCAUGGUUCUGUUGACUGGCAUCGGUUGGCAGAUAAAGCUGAGGUGCUGUAAGAUGGGCGUGCGUGCUAUUAGUUAGUUGGUGAGGUAACGGCUCACCAAGGCGACGAUAGCUAGGGGGCGUGAGAGCGUGGACCCCCACACGGGUACUGAGACACGGACCCGACUCCUACGGGAGGCAGCAGUAAGGAAUAUUGGACAAUGGGGGCAACCCUGAUCCAGCCAUCCCGCGUGCAGGAAGAAUGCCCUAUGGGUUGUAAACUGCUUUUGUAUAGGAAGAAGCCCGUACAUUUAUGUAUGGUUGACGGUACUAUAAGAAUAAGCACCGGCUAACUCCG